rnacentral:rRNA from 1 species
AUUGAACGCUGGCGGCAGGCCUAACACAUGCAAGUCGAGCGGAUGAAGGGAGCUUGCUCCUGGAUGCAUCGGCGGACGGGUGAGUAAUGCCUAGGAAUCUGCCUGGUAGUGGGGGAUAACGUCCUGAAACGGGCGCUAAUACCGCAUACGUCGUGAGGGAGAAAGUGGGGGAUCUUCGGACCUCACGCUAUCAGAUUAGCCUAGGUCGGAUUAGCUAGUUGGUGGGGUAAAGGCCUACCAAGGCGACGAUCCGUAACUGGUCUGAGAGGAUGAUCAGUCACCCUGGAACUGAGACACGGUCCACACUCCUACGGGAGGCCGCAGCGGGGAAUAUUGCACGAUGGGCCAAAGCCUGAUACAGCCCUGCCGCGUGUGUGCAGAAGGUCUUCGGAUUGUAAAGCACUUUAAGUUGGGAGGAAGGGCAGUAAGUUAAUCCCUUGCUGUUUUGACGUUACCAACAGAAUAAGCACCGGCUAACUUCGUG